GGGGGUGCACUGGUUUCGACCGUGAGCGUUGAUGCGUCGGAAGCGAGCCGAGGUCGCCGGAGUCCUCGUUAAAGAGCCGGUACAAACAUAAGUGCAAACAACGAAAGUUACGCACUGGCAGCGUAGAUAAACGCUCCUGUCUGACCGAAGGGCACCCACCUCGUCGGACCCAGGCAAUGCAAUGUGGGAUGCCCCCGCCGGGGUUCCGUGACUGGCGGGGAAAGACGAUCGCGGAUAGGACGCAGGGUUGCUUGCCGGCAGGGUCCCCGUGUUCCGAAGCUCAUUCUGCUGGCUGCGCUCGGAGAUGCCGGCGUUGAAAUCUUGCGGGACGGGGGUUCGAUUCCCCCCACCUCCACUC
rnacentral:tmRNA from 1 species